GAUGAACGCUGGCGGCGUGCUUAACACAUGCAAGUCGAACGAACCUUCGGGUUAGUGGCGGACGGGUGAGUAACGCGUGAGAAUCUGCCCUCAGGAGGGGGAUAACGGCUGGAAACGGCCGCUAAUACCCCAUAUGCCGAGAGGUGAAAUGAAUUUCGCCUGAGGAUGAGCUCGCGUCUGAUUAGCUAGUUGGUGGGGUAAAGGCCUACCAAGGCUUCGAUCAGUAGCUGGUCUGAGAGGAUGAUCAGCCACACUGGGACUGAGACACGGCCCAGACUCCUACGGGAGGCAGCAGUGGGGAAUUUUCCGCAAUGGGCGAAAGCCUGACGGAGCAACGCCGCGUGAGGGAUGAAGGCCUCUGGGCUGUAAACCUCUUUUAUCAAGGAAGAAGAUCUGACGGUACUUGAUGAAUAAGCCACGGCUAAUUCCGUGCCAGCCGCCGCGGUAA
rnacentral:rRNA from 1 species